rfam:Otolemur garnettii contig170850, whole genome shotgun sequence.
ACGUGAUUCACCAGCUUACGUACUAAAAUUGGAAAGAUGUGGAGAAGAUUAUCAUGGUCUCUGAAAAGAAUGACAAGCAAAUUCAUGCAGCAUCCAAUAUUUUU